rnacentral:lncRNA from 1 species
CACAAUGUAGUCUUUAAAGAGUCUUUGUUUAGAGAGAGAUUUCUCCCAAUAAGUUUUAGAAUUUUCAAUUUUGUUUUUAAUAUGUAGGCCGUUUGGCCAAACCAUAUCCAAUAAUGUAUUUUUAGUUUAAUUUUUCAUGUGUCGCCUGAUUUAUCGUCUUAUGGUUUGCAAACUAAAAGCUUCUGCGUGAUGCCCUCUCGAUUUCGAACCCAACAAGUGGUAUCAGAGACAAUGGUUCAAAGAUUAGACGGUUCGAUUGAGGAUAGUUUAAGAUAAAAAUUACAACAAAUUUGAUGAUAAUGAAGAUAUACGUCCAAAAACUACAUGUGGAGACGAUUGUCAUAUUUUCAACAAUCCUGCUGUUACAUAUUUGAAAAUAAAGCUUACUUUUAACCCUACAAAGGGCUCUAAUAUUUUUAACCCGAAAAGGUCUCAUAUAUUUUUAACCCCAAAAGCUCCAUUUUUAAACAUGCCAAACAACAGUGAUGAAGAUUAUAUGAAGAACGAAGAUCAAAUAUGUGAAGAAGGCGAAUCAACUGAAGAAAAUCAAGCCAAAAAGGGGAGAUUUGUUAGGAUUUUUGCCCCGAUUUUCUUACCAAAUUUAAGUUUUACUUUUUCUUGUAAGGAAAAUAAAAGUAACCAUAAAUACUUUUAUUUUUCCUGAAAGGAAAAUAUAAAACUUUUUCAUAUUUGGCAAACCUCUUUCUUGGAGGAAAAGGUUUUGGGUAUCUAUAAAUAGAAGACCCCUCUUCUCAUACAAUAACAC